GGAGUUUUUAGGUGGAUUUCAGCUGAAUUAGAGGCAAACUAUUCGUCGAAUCUUCUUACUAAGUGGUUGGCUCCUGGUGGCGAGCCGUGUAGGGAUUCAAGAACUGUGGAUGUGAAAAUCCCUGCUUUGGAUGGUCGUGAGAAUAUUGAGUUGUCAACUGGGGAUAUUCAUGAGUUUGUUUUUCAUGCAUUGGAUGAUUCUGGAAAACCUCAUUGUUUGGGUGGUGAUUAUUAUGAAACUGAUAUUUCUGGUGAAACAUGGAAGUCUAGGCCUCCAAUGAAAGAUUUUGGCAAUGGGACUUAUCAGUUUUCCCUGCAAGUCCACCCUGAUUUUGCUGGAGAUUACAAUCUUACAAUCAUCCUACUAUUUCGACAUCAUGAAGGCUUGAAGUUUUCGCCUGUAAGAUUUGCAUUUGACAAGGUUCUGCGCGUGAUCCCAAUCAAAUUCUCCAAGUCCUCUGUUGAUUUACCUGAAAUAUCUCAAUGCAAGAAGUCAGAUCUUGUUAGAGAUGUUUGGUCUGGUCGAUGGACUCGUCAUGCCAAGAAUGAUAGCUGUCCAAUUAGUAGAGAUGGGAGAUACAGAUGCCAAGAACCAAAUUUCCCAUGCCAAAAACCAUGGUGUGAUGGUCCAUUGGGAUCCUUGGAGAGCAAUGGUUGGGUAUAUUCAACACAUUGUUCAUUCAAGAUGUUCUCAAGUGAAGAAGCAUGGAAUUGUUUGAAGGAUCGUUGGAUUUUCUGGUGGGGUGAUUCGAAUCAUUGUGACACAGUGAGAAACAUCCUUAAUUUCAUUUUAGAUGUGAAUGAUAUAAAGGACGUCCCAAGAAGAUCUGAUUUGAACGUCACCAACCCGAGGAAUCCAUCACAAACAGUUCGAUUUACUAACAUUUUCAAUGGGCAUCAUAACCAAACAGGAAAUUAUCAAGGCUUGAAUUCAUUGAGAGAUGCUGGCUAUAGAGAACUUUUGAAAGGCUACUUCUCUGGACAUGUUGUUCCAGACACUAUAAUCAUGAAUUCAGGCUUACAUGAUGGAGUGUUUUGGCCUAAUGUUAGGCAUUUCAUGGAAGGCGCGGACUAUGCUGCAUCAUUCUGGGCUGAGGUAUUUAAUGGGGUAAGGCAGAGAGGGUUGACACCACCCGAAGUCAUAUAUAGGACCACAAUUACCACCGGAGGAUAUGCUAGACAAUUAGCAUUCAAUCCAAGUAAAAUGGAGGCCUUCAAUGGUGUAGUCUUGGAUAAGUUUAGGGCAUAUGGUUUACUUGAUCGCGUCAUUGAUGAUUUUGACAUGACUUAUCCAUGGCACUACGACAACAGAUGCAAUGACGGGGUGCAUUAUGGCCGUGCUCCUGCCAAGUUGAAGUGGAGGGAUGGCCAGAUUGGGCACCAAUACUUUGUGGACGUUAUGCUUGGUCACGUGCUGAUCAACACGUUAUGUGCAAGAUAGAUGAUGGCGAGUUACCUUCUGAGAUGCACAGGUAACCUUCAAGCAAUUGAUGGUGCAUUUCAAGCUUGGUUACUAGAAUUGAAUUUUGCAAGUUAUAUUCUUGAUCUAUUUUUAUGUAUCUUACUGUUAUUAUGUUUUCUGGAUUUUCUUCCACGUUGUAGGCC
rnacentral:misc_RNA from 1 species